rnacentral:lncRNA from 15 species
GCACUGCCGGGGAAGAAGCUCUGUGAUGUGAAAAAGUCCUAACCUACUCAUUGAUAUGUGAAGUCAAGUCACUGAUGUGUGACAAAUUCAGUUUUCUGGGACACAGGGGCAGCAGUAAGUCUUUAAUGGAAGAAAUGAUUUUAAAAGAGGAAAGUUUUAUACAAACUUUGUUGAGGUUUAAUCUGAGUUAAAAAGCCUUUUAGCUAUGAUUAUUGUGGAUGUUGUGACACUCCUUUAUGGUACCAAUGUAGCAACUUUCUUUAAAAAUAUCAAAUAUUGGCAGAAAGUCAAUUUUUUUUAACUUCAUUUCUAACGUUUUCAUGGAGGACCUAGUAUUGAACCACUGGCAACAUAUUGAACUGAUCAAUGGCUACUUUGUGCAGUCAACAUCCCGUUGCUGACAAUAUUUAAUCACAUUAAAAAAAUCACAAAGCAGCUAUAAUAAAACAACAAUGAAACAUAAGCAAAUUGUUGGAUGUAACAAUGUCAGCUUAAGUGCUAUAAAACUGUAGCCAGUGGUGGUUGCUACUAGCAACACAAAGUUCAACUGAAAACCAACUUCUACUAGCCAAAUAAAACAAACAUUUCCUGUCUAAACAUUAUUAAGGUGGCAUUAUAUUUAGCCAUAUAUUUACUGUUAGUAUCAUAUUAAAAUCAUUUUUAGGAGACAGCUGUAUUUCCCUAGCUGCAUGCAUGGUGGCUGUUAUCAUGUGAUGUGAUAAUUGUCAAUGCAUAGUGUCUGAUGCAUAUGGUGUCAUGAGUGAAUCAUAGGCCUGACCAAAUGUUGCAAUAUGGCAGUUAAAUAAUUCAUUAAAGAGGGGGCUCGUUUCCCUAAUCUCAUCCUAUGUACAGUUCAUCAGAUACUGGAUGGGUGAAGAUAUACAUGAAAGGGGGGGAGCAUGCAGCAAAGAGUCACAGGUUGGAAUCAUUGCCUACGUGGGACGCAUGCUUUACCAGCUCACAACCCAGGAGACAGCAGCCGCAACCUUGGUGGUCCCAAGUGCCGCCUGUCUGUAAUGAAUUGGUGUCACUUCGGACUGAAUGUUUCUAGUUGAAUACUGAUAGAUAGGUCAGGCCAGAGGCCGUCUGGGACUCUUAUUAUUAUUAUUUGGAGG